GUCACUGUCUGAGCAUGCCAGAAUGGCGGACAUCUCCCCCACCUUAUAAUUCACUUACCUGUCUAAUACGCACCUGUCCAACCUACACCCAACCCAAAAAUAAAUUAAUGAUCAAAAAUCAAACAGCUGCGCCAACACUAAAAGCUUUAUUUUUUUAUUUGUUUCAUUUUUUUAAUAAAAAUAACAACAAAAAACCUGUCAGCUUGAUCAGAGAGCCCUCUGAUCACACUGAUUACUGAUACGUACCGUACACAGAUACUGUGCAGUACAAUGAACAGGCAGCAAGGAAGGGGUUAAAUUUUUUUAGAAACACUGUAAUUGACAACAAAGGUAUUAUAGUGUUUUCACAUUUUGUUACACUAAGUAGCAAUGAGCUCUCUGUCUCUCUCACCUCAAAUCAAAGUGAGGAAAGAGAGGGGCAGAGAACAAUGUCAAUGCAAUUACAUGUCUUGGAUCGCUGGAGUUGGUUGCACAGGGACUGCUUGGGUUGUCAUGCAGAACCCCAGGUGGCGAUUGGCAGCUUAGGAAGGAAGACAGGCCAGAAGGAGAACCAAGGUCAUUAGGGAGUGCUAAUGACCUUGGUGUUAAAGCACUCCUAUUGUAAAGCGACAUAGCACGCCCUAAUGUCACAAAUGGGUUAAAACUACUUGCCUAAUAUCGUGAAGGUUCCCUUCGUGCUGCAAAAACAACUCAAGUCAUGGACUCCACAAUAUAUCUAAAUGUGUCCUGUGGUAUCUGGCACCAAGAUAUUAGCAGCAGAUCCUUCAAGUCCUGCAAGUAGCAAGGUGGAGCCUCCAUGAAUUGGAUUUGUCAUUCCAGCACAUUCCACAGAUUCUCAAUUUGAUUGAGAUCUGAGGAGUUUGGAGGCCAAGGAAACACAAUUGUCAUGAAGGGGUAUUCGUGGUCUGCAACAAUCUCUAGGUACGUGGUACGCAUCAAAGUAUAAAUGCCAAGACCAAAGGUUUCCCAGUAGAACAUUGCCCAGAGCAUAACAUUGCCUCCACCACCUUCUUCCCAUAGUGCAUCUUGCUGCCAUCUCUUUCCCUGGUAAAUGAAUCACAUGCACCCAGCCAUCCACAUGAUCUAAAAGAAAACAUGAUUCAUCAGACCAGUAAACCUUCUUCCUUUGCUACUUGGUCCAGUUUUGAUGCUCAUGUCCCCAUUGAAGGCACUUUUGAACAGGGGUCAUAAUGGGCACUCUGACUGGUCUGUGGCUACACAGCCCUAUACGCAGCAAACUGCGAUACACUGUUCUGACACCUUUCUAUUAUGACCAUCAUUAAGUUUUUCAGUUUUAUGUGAUCAGACCAAAUUGCCUAGCCUAUGCUCCCCAUGGGCAUCAAUGAGCUUUGGGCAUCCCUGACCUUGAUGCCAGUACAUCAAUUGUCCUUCCUUGCGCCACUUUUGGUAAGUAUUAGCCACUGCAUUCUUGGAACACCACAAGACUUGCCAUUUUGGAGAUGAUCUGACCCAGUCAUCUAGUCAUUACUAUGUAGCCCUUGUCAAAGUCACUCAAUCUUUUCACGUGCCAAUUUCUAUGGCUUCCAACACAUGAUAUUCAACAAGUGACUGUUCUCUGCUGACUAAUAUACCCCACCUCUUGACAGGUGCCAUUGUAAUGAUAUAAGCAAGUUAUUCACUUCACCUAUUAGUGGUUUUAAUGUUGUGGCUGAUCAGUG
rnacentral:lncRNA from 1 species